AAGUCCUUACCCAAAUCUCCCCCCUCCCAGGUGCAGCUUCACCAGAAGAUCUUCCAUAACUACAACCUGAAGGCCCAGCCAGCCAAACACUGGGAGCAGAAAGUCUAGGUCAGAGUGAGGUUAUCCUUCUCCCAGCUUGUCAGUCUGGUACAACACAACACAUACGCUGAGUACACAAACAUUAAGAACACCUGCUCUGACCAGAUUAAUCCAGGUGAAAGCUAUGAUCCCUUAUUGAUGUCACUUGUUGAAUCCACUUCAAUCAGUGUAGAUUAAGGGGAGGAGACAGGAUAAAGAAGGAUUCUUAAGCCUUGAGAGAUGGAUUGUGUAUGUGUGCCAUUCAGAGUGGGGGGGUCAACUCAAUAUUAGGAAUGUGUUCCUAAUGUUUGGUAUACUCAUUGUAUAAACAUACACAUGUCAAAGCACUCGUAAACACACACACUUGCGCAUGCAUAUAUAAACACAGCCACGGCCUCCUUCCCUUGGCACUGCCAGCCAGCCCUGUCUCAGCGACAUCGAGCCUCCAAUCAUGCAUGGCUAAUUAAGCUUUCCUAGGACAGGAUUGAGUAUAGCAGGCUGCCAUGUACAAGAAGAUUCACCCCCAACCCCAGUCUAAAGUCUAUCUCUCUGGGCAGUAUGAGAAGAACGAGGCGAUGACAACCAACGAUGUCCAUGAAUAUGGCGUGGACAGACUACAGGCUAUCAUGGAAUCCAGAAGAUUAGAAUAAUAUAGAAGUCCUCACGAUUCCUCCCGACAAGGUGUGGCAGACUCCUGUCCUGCUCCGAAAUAGAAUAGCAUAGAACACGACCAAGAGUUCAGAAUAGCAUAGAACGCCAUCCCUGUUCCAUGACCAUCAGUUUUUUCUGACUAUGUGACACUGAACUGG
rnacentral:lncRNA from 13 species